AUGGAAGCAGAGUUCUCUGAGUUUUCGAUCUUCGAUUUUCAUCAAAUAUUAGAGGCCACAAGUAACUUUUCUGAAGAAAAUAAACUUGGCAAAGGUGGAUUUGGCCCUGUUUAUAAGGGCCACUUUCCCGAUGGAACUGAAAUUGCAGUAAAGAGACUUGAUUCACAUUCCGGACAAGGUUUGAUGGAGUUCAAAAAUGAAGUUGAGCUCAUAGCCAAACUUCAACACAUGAAUUUGGUUAGGCUCUUGGGAUGCUGCUCUCAAGCAGAGGAGAAAAUAUUGGUCUAUGAAUACUUGCCAAACAAAAGCUUGGACUUCUUCAUCUUUGAUAAUAAUAGAAAAGCUUUAAUUGAUUUGAACAAACGUCUUGAAAUAAUUGAAGGAAUAGCAGGACUUCUUUACCUACAUAUGCACUCUCGGUUGUGUGUCAUACAUCGAGACCUUAAACCAAGCAACAUUCUCUUGGACAACGAAAUGAAUCCUAAAAUUUCAGACUUUGGACUAGCAAAAAUAUUUAGCUCUAAUGCCGAAGGAAUCAUUACAAGAAGAGUGGCUGGUACAUAUGGCUAGAUGGCUCCCGAGUAUGCUUCACAGGGCAUCUUUUCCAUCAAAUCCGACGUAUUCAGCUUUGGUGUUUUAACUCUCGAGAUCCUUAGUGGCAAAAGGAAUUCUGGAAGCCAUCAACGUGGAGAUUUCAUCUAUCCCCUUGGAUAUGCUUGGAAAUUAUGGAAAGAGGGAAGAUGGAUCGAACUUGUUGAAACCUCAUUGCUUCCCAAUUGUCAUUUGACAGUAACGAUGAGGUGUGUUAACAUUGCACUGUUGUGUGUACAAGAGAAUGCAAUGGAUCGUCCAACCAUGUUGGAUGUUGUUGCAAUGCUAAGUAGCAUGACGAUGAAUCUACAUGAGCCUAAGCAUCCAGCGUAUUUCAAUUUAAUGGUAGGCAACGAAGAGUCAUCUACAACUACUCUACCAUGCAGUGUUAAUGAUGUAACCAUAUCUGCCACAACUCCUAGGUAG
rnacentral:rRNA from 1 species